rnacentral:rRNA from 1 species
GAUGAACGCUGGCGGCGUGCCUAACACAUGCAAGUCGAACGAAGCACCCCUCCCUAGUGUUGACCCAGCUUGCUGCGGGUUGAUUCAUUUCAUUUGACUGGGUGUCGCACGGGUGAGUAACGCGUGAGUACCCUUCCUCAUAUAGGGGCACAACAUUUGGAAACUACUGCUAAUACCCCAUGGUAAGACUAAUUCGCAUGGUUUCUUCUUGAAAGAUUUAUCGCUAUUAGAUGGGCCCGCGUCUGAUUAGCUAGUUGGUAAGGUAACGGCUUACCAAGGCGACGAUCAGUAGCUGGCUUGAGAGAGUGAUCAGCCACACUGGGACUGAGACACGGCCCAGACUCCUACGGGAGGCAGCAGUGGGGAAUAUUGCACAAUGGGGGAAAGCCUGAUGCAGCGACGCCGCGUGAGUGAAGAAGUAUUUCGGUAUGUAAAGCUCUAUCAGCAGGGAAGAUAAUGACAGUACCUGAAUAAGAAGCUCCGGCUAACUCCGUG